GUGUGCAUAGCCAAUGUAUAGCUUUGGAAUUGAAAAUUCGAUCCGAGAAAAGAAAAACGCGUGUGCUCGUGAAUCCGUAAGACUUUAAUUAUUUACGCAAAGUGUGUGUCGUUCGUUGUGUUUAUGUAAUAAAAGAAAAACAAAGAAAAAUAUGUGUCGUAUCUCGUAUCAGGGACAAAAUUACAAGAGACUGUCGGGAUAAAUUUCACGGAGCACGCAAUUCUCUUUCUCCCGUGUGGAAUCGAAGAUUUCCAAUGGCAUUUAAUACGAGAGCGCAUAUCGUACAUAUAUAGAAUAUAUCGGAUGAGUAACAUAACAUUCGUUCGAUUUUAUUAUUCUUCAAGUGGUUUGACGCGUAAAAGUAACAAGUUUUUUAUCGUCAAUCCAACAUUUCAUACAAAAUACGUACACUUUAUCGAGUCUUACGCACGAAAUACUUCGAGUACUCGUAAUCGUUUGAUUUUAACCUCGCACAUGUCUCCUGUUUCGGCAAACUGACGCGCGUACAUAUUUACCCCCUCGAUAUUCUGUAAAAUUCUACUUGACGAAUGAUUCAUUCGUGCUAAAAUAAUUAAGUACACGGUAAAAAUUCGUGAAGAAUACUUCGAGUUUGUGCUGCUUAAAAAAAAAAAAAAAACAAAAAAACAAAAGAGAAUAACUCGCACUGAUCUCACUAUAGAUAUACACAUAUGUGUCUGUAUCUAUCUACAUAUAUAUAACGGAUCGUGGAUUAUAUCCAAAACAGCCAAGUGGCAAGUGGAAUUCUAUAGAUGCAUCGUGCAUCGGAAAAAUCACGCAAUCGUCGCACCACCUGCUGUGAAAGAUCACAUCGGACAAUUGACUGAGCUAGAAAAUUCUAAAUUUAAAAUAUUACAAAACAUAAUAAACGGAUCCGAAUUUUUUGGAUUUAACAUUAAAUUCGAAAAUAAAUUGACGUAUUCUUUGCCCAACACUGCCAAAAGAUUUGGCUGAGAUUCUAUUAAUUUUUUCAGAAAAAAAAGAGCAUUUGAAAUUUGAAAAAGAAGAAAUGCUUCACGCCGAGGCAUUAAUGAGGAAAAAAAAGCACAACUUUACCUGGAUUAAAAUGAACGAGAGGGCUGAAACUUCUGGAAGAGCGGUAAUAAGUAGAGAAGAGUGAGCAAUAAGAUAAAAGAGCUUGGCCCACCCGGAGUCAGGUGGAAAAAGAAAACCAAACGGCGAGCUGGUCUGGAAUAGCUCAUAAUGCGUUUGCCCUCGUGGUCUACCAACACGAUAGACUGUAAUAACAUUAGACGUUCGAAACCUCGCUCCAGAGUCAAAAGAAUACAGAGGACUAAGGAGAAAAUAGACGGAGAGUCGGAUGAGGACACAAAGUCGAAGAAGGAAUACUGUAGACAUUCGUGAGAGGAAAACUAGAAAAAGGAGAAACGACCGAGAUGAAUUCUGGCAGGCAAAAGCUGUUGUUGUUGUUGUUGUUGAAUAUAUAUACAAAUAAUACUCCGCACCAAUAGUCUUUGAAAAGCAAAAAAAGAAAAACGAGCCUCCGACGGACGUUUUUUUAUUAAAAAAGUUCCUCACAGCUUCUUUGUGCUUUGUCUGUCGCUCGACUUAGCCUAGAAGAGAGAGAAGAAAAGAUUCGAAGAGUAGUGUUGGCUCAGCGACGCAUAGGGCAUAAGCAGCGCAAAGAUCGACCGUCCGCUCUCUUCUCACAGAAUAUCUAGUCCGAAGCACGCCAUUAAUUGAGAAAUAUUCUAAAAUCCUUUUCAUCAAGGUGAUCCGGAGUUUCUUAACGGCAGAGAUAUCAAUCGUCAAAAUUGGCAGUCGUCAACUCGUCUAACAACAACGGCUCACGAAAAUAAUCUUGCAAAAAAGGCUGUUGGUCAUUUUCUCAGGCCGAUACAUCAAGACUGCUUUUUACUAAUAUUAUUUCGUAUUAUAAUAAAAAAUUAAAAGAGAAGAAUCCAGGGAAGAUAAGGAAAGCAGCGUGCAAAGGACCAAUGAAGAGAGUUCGAACGUUUGAAUCGGGUUCAACGGGCGGAGUGGUAUGCGGAGAGAGAAGAAUGAGAGAAAUGGAAACGGAAUUGGAGGAAAAAAGAAAUGAGUACUGGUACACAGGUUUGAGACAAGAAUCGAAGGGUGUGUGUUUCUUUGGAUAAAAGUGAAAAAGGGCGAUCGAGAUGCCCCUUUCAUUACCAAACGCGUUUGCCCCCAUGAGCACUUACACCACUCAGAAUUUCAUAUCGACCGGCGACAACAAUCAUUUGCCACCUCUGAAGGGUGGGAGCCUUCUGUUGAAACAAGUAGCGGGGGAAUCGCCGCCGAGUCAUCCGACCCGAUCGAGCCAUCCGCCUCCGGUGCUCUCCACUCAUUUGCCCAGUUUGAGUUCGAGCGUUAACAACAGCCUGCAAAACUUGACGAGCAAUUCCGAGGGUCCGAACCUGCAGCAUCCUCAACAGCAACAAAGUCUGAACUCGAGUCACGUCGUAUCGCAGCAACACGCGAAUCACAAUUCUCACUCUCAGGCAAACAGUCAGACGAACAGUCCACUCGUGAAAAAUGGACGGCUCGAUGCUCAACAGCAUUCCAACAGCAGCAGCGCCGGUGGCGGUGGCGGUAGCAGCGGAACUGCCAACGGAAGUGGAGCAGCCGGAAGCGGCGGAGCGGCCGGAAACAGCGGCAAAGUUAUUCCAAAGAUGGCCGUUACUCCGGAAAUCGUGAUGAAACUUUACAUGAACAAGUUGACGCAGUACGAGAGACACGAGAUAUACUCUUAUCCACAGAUUUACUUUAUAGGGGCCAACGCUAAAAAAAGGCCGGCCAGCUUCGGUCUACCGAACAAUCACAGUUACGAUAACGAGCAUGGCUCUUACACUCACACACCUCACGACCACGUCGCUUACAGAUACGAAGUAUUGAAAGUAAUCGGCAAAGGCUCCUUCGGCCAAGUCGUCAAGGCUUACGAUCACAAAAAUCACGAACACGUUGCCCUCAAAAUGGUUAGAAACGAGAGACGCUUCUCGCGCCAAGCACAAGAGGAAAUAAGAAUUCUUCGUAAUUUGCGGGAACAGGACAAGGACAAUACCAUGAAUAUUAUACACAUGUUCGACUCGUUUACCUUUCGCAAUCAUAUGUGCAUCACCUUCGAGCUUCUCAGUAUAAAUCUCUAUGAACUCAUCAAGAAGAACAAGUUUCAGGGAUUUAGUCUACAGCUCGUUAGAAAGUUUGCUCAUUCCUUGUUGCUCUGCUUGGAUGCCUUGUACAAGAACAAAAUUAUCCACUGCGACAUGAAACCGGAAAACGUUCUUCUCAAGCAACAGGGUCGAAGUGGCAUCAAGGUGAUAGAUUUUGGUUCGAGCUGUUACGAGUCUCAGCGGGUGUACACGUACAUCCAGAGUAGAUUUUACCGUGCUCCGGAGGUGAUAUUGGGUGCGCGUUUCGGGAUGCCAAUCGACAUGUGGAGUCUCGGUUGCAUAUUGGCGGAGUUAUUGACAGGAUUUCCAUUACUGCCGGGAGAGGACGAGGCGGAUCAAUUGUCUUGCAUAAUCGAGUUGCUCGGUAUGCCGCCAAGGAAGUUGAUCGAGAGUGCGGACAGAUCGCGACAUUUCUUCAGUUCGAAGGGUCAUCCGAGGUAUUGCAAAGCAACGACAAUCGCGAGUGGUUCGACGGUGUUGUUGGGGGGAGUUUCGAGGCGAGGAAAAUUCCGAGGGCCGCCGGGUUCGAAAGUGCUCAAAGACGCGUUGAAAGGUUGCGAGGAUCCGUUGUUUUUAGAUUUCAUAAAGAGAUGUUUGCAGUGGGAUCCGGAGCGUCGUAUGACGCCGAGCAAGGCGUUGCGUCACGCUUGGCUCAGAAGAAGACUGCCGAGACCGCCGGAUCACCCGGACAAGCCGGACAGCUCCUCAUCGGUCGUUUGCAACGCCGGUUGCGUCAUGAGCUCUUCAGUGCACGUACCGGCGGGGAGCGCAGUUUCCUCGGCGACCAGUCGAAUAAGCUCGACCAAAGGGAGCAUUGGAACCGCGACAGCGAUCCCCUCGAGCACCGUUGGCAAUGGCGCAGUCUCCAGUUCAACGAAUGCCUCCGCUUGCCGCUUUCCUACCACGCUCAAUUCGCAAACGCGGCACUCCCUACUGCUGCAGCAGCAGCAGCAGCAGCAGCAGCAACAGACCGCCCCAACGGUGCCUCAUCAAAACUCUGCUUCGACUACGUCCACGAAUCAACCAUCCUCUCUGCCUUCUUCUAUAAAUCAUCAACAAUCCGCCACUAGUUCAGCGGGCAGCGCCACCUUGCAACACAAUAAUUCACUCCAUUCGCACAACGGAGGAUCUCAUGGCUCUUUGCACGACUCCCACGGUCGCAGCUCUCACGGCUCCUCCGGGCUUUCCAGCCGUUUCAAAAAACAGGAGAGCUCCGGCGACUCGUGGCGGUAAGUUUUGACCUGCCCGUGUCUAUGCGUACGCGAGCGUGUGUGUGGGCGAGCUCUUACGCUUGAAAAUUGGGGCCGCUCAAUUUAUUCGAAAAAUGCCAUUAAGCAAGAGCAGAUGAAACAUUUCUGACAGAAAUUCAUUGCGAUCUUUCGUCGGUUCACUCAAUCAUGGACAUUUCGUGAUUUUAUUUCUUUUAUUGCUUCCUCAAUUUACGAAAACAAUUCCUUUUGCCCUUGCUUAAGUUUUCUUAUGUAAAAACAUCAAUUUUCUGUCAACAAACGAAACGUCAAACGAAAGUGGAAAUUUAAGCCUUUUUUGUUGACAGACAAAUUGUGUUGAGUUGUGUUGACAAAUUGUGACCCCGUUGAGUCACAAUUUUGAGUGAGAAAAAAAGUCGUUUCUGAGCUCGAAUGCACCUGACGAAAUAAAUUUUUUACCGCCCACGCUGGUGAGUCGGAAGAGAGUUUUUUCGACAGGUCGAUCAAACUCGAUAAAUAAUUAUUUGUUUUCUAUCUCCCGCAUGAUAAAAAAAAGUCGUACAAAGUGCGUUAAGAUUUGUCGAAAAAAUUCGCAGGCGAUACAGCAAAAUAAUUAUUUUGUUCUUUACGAGGAAAAACCAAGUUUUCCUUACGAAACAUAGUCGAUAUUGUUUUAUUUGAAAAAAAAAAAAAAAGGCAUUUGACGAAUGAAAGAGCGAACCAAUCCUCGGCUCGUUACUUCUCGUACGAGUUUACAAGCCGAUAUUCGUAAACAUUGAAACGAGUAAAGAGCGACGAUGAGGCGAAGCGAAGAAAGCUGGACAUUCUGAGGAAAAUGUAGCCAAAGCUAAUGUCCAUCGACGAAUGAAAAUUCGAUGAAAAGCAAACCACACGCGGGCACCCGCAUUCACGAAACUUAAUCAAUAUAGUUGAAGAAAAAAACAACAACUUCAGUAGGUAAUAGUAAUAUAGCUCGUGAUACGGAACAGGAUGUCUUGUGAUAUGAAACUUGGGCGUAUACUAUAGGGGUUUAUAUUAUAUAAUAGAAUAUAUGAAAAUAAUUAUUUUAUCGCGCUAAUGAAAAAAAUGUAAAUGCUAACAAAUGAAAAAAAAAAAGAAAUAAGAGAAAGAGGGGAAAAAACAAAAAGUGAAAAACAUUUAGCAUUUAAGAUCUGUCCGUUGAGUCGUAGCUAAUUGCUAUGUUAUGCCGCAUUAUAUAUUAACGAGGAGAACUUAAAUGAAGGACGCUAAAGGCGCGCAACGAGGAGUGGAAUUGUUGUAAGAGCGUGAUAAAUUUUAUCGUCUCCCCAGCUUUUAUUUACUCGAGACGAAACUUACUCUUCGCAUUCAUCCACACACACGCGCGCGCGCUCCCAAAAGUCCUUUCGCAAAUUUGAAGUAAUUUCUUAAACUCCCCCAGGCGACGAAUCGGAUCGAUAUGAUUUUGCCAUUUUAUUAUUAUUGCAUCGAUUCUCUCGAGACGCGAAUUUUUUUGUAUGUUUUUUGUAUGUCCAUUUCGUUCCAAUUCUUAGGCAUUUUAAUUAUUUUUACCAAUUUUUAUGGGCAGAAAAUUUAAAUGACUUCGUAACGUGCACUUUUUGCAUGAAUACGUGCUUUAGUUUGUUGAAUUGGAAUCUUUCAAAAAGUUAUGUUUGCAUUUCCUUCUAAUCAGGGCCAAAAAUCGUUCUAAGCUUUUGCAUCCUCCUCCGAUUAGAUCACUGCCUGAGGCAUGGAAAAAGUAACGCCUCGAUCGACACAUCACCUAUUUUAGAGGUUGCAUUUUUUUAGAAUUAUUCUUGACAAAAACUAGAAUAAAAUUAUUGAUUGAAUUUUUACCAGUUGGCUAAAAGAAUAAAUCGAAGGUUUUCGCACGGUUUUCAUGUGAAAGACCAUCGAUGUUUAAAGCUUUUAAUCAUUUCUACAAUUUACGUGAUUUCAGUUUCUUUCACGUAAACGUGAAUAUUCAAUUAUGGGAAAUUAAAAUUUUUGGCGUUUGCGUGUCCAACCUCUUCACUGGGAGGCCAAACUGUCAAAAAUAUUGCUGAUUGAGGUACUGAUAAAACAAGAAAAAAAAUAUGGACGAUAAAUCACGAUUUUUCGUGGAAAUCCUUUCAUUCCUCCUCGACAGGAAUUCAAAAUUUUUUAACCGUUCAGAGUGUGCCAUGAAAAGGCUGCGCAGGGAGAUUCUAAACUUUGUUUUUCUGUUAAUUUUUCAUUGUUUCCUCAUUGACUGUUGAUAUUUUAUUCCAAAUUUUUAACAUUUGAUUCAAAUAUCUUUUCCAGUUUCUAGAUCAUAAAAACGUUUGUAAUUGGACGUUGAACCAUCGCGGUAUUCAUUGCUGAGCAAUGUAAUUCUGAUGACAAAAGUGCUUUUGGAUGUUCAAGGUCAUCCAGUCCUGUAAAUUUUGAAAAAUGGACUUUAGUCUUCAAAAUUACAGCUUUAGAAUUGUAAAAGUUUUUUGCACCUUGAAACAGCAUUUUCGGGCCAUAACAGACCACCAGAAAUGCCCUCCUGACCCUCGAACCGUCGACCAGUGAAGGGGCUCAUCAAUGAACUCGUAAUUUUUACUUCUUUCCCGGUGUUGCAUGCACUUUUUACUAUUUAUCUUAUAAAUGUUAAUACUCACUUUUUAUUUCCAACAAAAGUAAAAAAAUAUUUUUCAUCACAGUCGCAGGCCACCCCCGCGUGUCGCGUUUGUGUGUGAGUGUGUACAUAUUACAGAAAUUCCUCAUUCAUAAUCACUGCCUACUUAUUUCAUAAAUUCUCUCGGUAAAUAGAUGACAGAUAAAAAGCGUAAGACGAGACAAGCGAAUUUGAGAUUUUGUUGUUCCUCGUGAUCGAGGAUGAGUAAUUUGUAUUAGUGAUCGAGAUUAAUAAUUGUGUGUCGCGAAAAAUUAUUUUUGCGUUUUGUGUCUCGAGAGUUGACGAACUUGCGUUCUGUGCUCGCAUCGGAAAGUCUCCGAUCGAGGAGAAAUUGUGUGUAUAAUAAUUUUAAUGGAAAUGCUCGCUUGGCUACAGAGGAAGCGAGAGAGCUAAUCAUUUUUGAAUUGAUAAUUUUUAAACGAUUGCACGAUACAUAAGGAGACCUUUUAUAUGAAUUUGUACUGCUGCGCCGAGCAGCACGCGCACGGCCCCAUCAGCAUUAAUUAUUCUACAUUCGAAAGUUUUUAAAAAUGUGUGUGAAAAGAGAGCACGAUUAUUGGCAAAUGCGUAUGGUGAUUCGUUAUUUCGUGUAUUCUGUAAAUGACUAGACGCGAGACACACGAGAUCGAUGGCUUUUCGAGUUUAAAACACUAUAUAUAUUAUCCUUUAAAAUUCAGUUGGUUAGUCGGUAACAAGGUUAUCGGCAAAGUCCCGCACGAACGCCCUCUAUAACGAACGGCAACGUCACAGUUCCGUGAGAAAUGGCCGCAGGUUUGGAAACGUUUCUCCUCCGGAAAGACACAACCGAUUGGGAUGCGAAGAGCUCGGCCCGCGUUAAGGAAGAAAUUUUCGAAAACAAUUGGAAACGCUAUCGCUCCGGUAAAGAAAUCUACUGGAAAUCGAAAAUUCCAACUUCAAGAAUCAAGAGACGCGGUAGCGGCUCGACGCCAAGUAUUAAAAGGAAAAACUGCAGCGCAAAAGAAAAGCCAGUUGAAAUAUACACCGUGCAUCUAUUCCCAUAAUUAUUAUAUUUCGAAAAACAAUUUCGAAGAAAUUGAUAAAUUGCGAAAAUCAAUUUUAAUCGUUUCUUUGAUCAUCAAAAGAGCAAAACAGCUCAGUUUUAUGAAUCACAAGUGAUCUUGCUUAAAUUUUCCAAAAAAUUGCUACCACUCUACAAAAAUCUGGAAUCACGGUAGCGAGACUCGAGACAAGUACAUUUUUCAGAGCGAGUUCGCAUUCGGAGACUUUACAGGAGUCGCCGCGUUCAAUAGUUUCACCAUCAACAAUUCGAAACGGAAUCGAAGAUUGUAUCGCAGUUAUGGAGGUUAAAUUCAGUGCAACUUAACUCAGUUACUUCGUUCUUUAGCGCCCUCGAUAAUUGAAUCAACAACUGGGUCAAAAAUAGAGAAAAAAAAACAAAUAAUAAAUCCGUCAAUAAUUGAAGUUUUAAUGUUUCCACAAUUUAUAAUAUUUGAUGAUUUUUGUGUUACGUAAAAUACGUAAGUAACGUUUUAUUAAUUCAAACGGAUUUUUGAAAGAACGUUUCGUGUACUUAUUGUCGAAGAAUAUUUGAAAAACCUGAUUCUUGUACGUGGAUAUCGUAACGUUUCAAGAGAACGACGCUGAAGUUUCCAACGUUCGAGUUCAACGAAAUGAACGAAAAAAAACAUUUGUAAUUCACCAAUUUUUUAUUUCACGAGUCGUUGGUGCAGCUUGAAAAACUGCGAAUCGCAAAUUUGGCAGGGAACAAAAUAGGAGAAUUACUGGAAUUAUUGGAGAGUUUUUUUCGAUCAUUUCGUUGGACUCCAACGUUGGAAACUUAAGCAUCAUUCAAGAGAAAUAAUGUACGUGAAAUGGGAAAAUAUGCCGAAAACCUUUUUACAGUCUAUUCCGAUAAAAACAAGAUAGGCACACGCGUUUGAGAAUGUGUGUUAUUAAUAUUUCGAGCCAUGCAAGACUGAGAUCCGCCAAGGUCAACGAAAAAAGUCAUUUUGGUGUGUUCUUUCACUUCCUUAUGCGCGCGCGCGCUCUCCGAUACUUCGAGUUUACGAAAAUUCGAUUGAAUCGAAAGAGGACAGAGCGACGCCUUGAUAUACCGUGAUUCGUUUAGUUUUAAAGACAAUAGUGAAUAUAAGUUUCUUUCUUUUUCUUCCCCCGAUGUGUGUGUGUGGGUGUGUGUAUUUUCGAUAAUUCAGUGAUUUCGUCGGCUAGCUUCGUGUGGAGUAGUGCCACGAUUUUUGUGUAAUUCACGAGUGAUAAACCGAUGUAUAGAGAAGAAGUUGAAUAAAAAGAAAGAACGAAGAUCGAGCGAUGUAUGUAAAGCCCCGUGAAAGUGUUUCGUUCGUCGACAAUUAUAUACACACGUAAUAAUAAUAAUAAUACAUAUAUGAAUAUAUUUAUGUAAGCGACGCCGCGAUGGAAAGUUUGAUCUCUUAUGCUAGUGCAUUAAAGAUACAUACGAGCAGUAUAGUAGGACGAAAAUGAAGAAGAUAAACAAAAUGUAAUAACGAUCAUAAGAAUAGGGUAAGCACGAUUCUCAUUUGGAGACAAAACGCGAAUAACGAAAUUCCUUCAGAGGCGUUUUGCGCGUAUAAAAUGCUGUGUAUUACUACGGGAGAGAAAUAAAAAAUAGUUAUUGGUACGAAUGCUGAAUACCAUGUCAAUACACACAUUUGUAAUACAGAUCGAAAGAAGAUGAAAACGAAAAAGCACGAAAAUUGUAAUGUUUGUUGCUAUCUAUACUCAGUCACUGGGAACGCGUGUGCGAAUCUGAUUUUUUUUUGUCAAGUGCUCCUAUACAUACAUAUUGUUUAAGGAAUGAAUAAAUGCUGCUUAUUCACA
rnacentral:misc_RNA from 1 species